rnacentral:rRNA from 1 species
GAUGAACGCUGGCGGCGUGCCUAAUACAUGCAAGUCGAGCGAACAGACGAGGAGCUUGCUCCUCUGACGUUAGCGGCGGACGGGUGAGUAACACGUGGAUAACCUACCUAUAAGACUGGGAUAACUUCGGGAAACCGGAGCUAAUACCGGAUAACAUGUUGAACCGCAUGGUUCAACAGUGAAAGACGGUCUUGCUGUCACUUAUAGAUGGAUCCGCGCCGCAUUAGCUAGUUGGUAAGGUAACGGCUUACCAAGGCAACGAUGCGUAGCCGACCUGAGAGGGUGAUCGGCCACACUGGAACUGAGACACGGUCCAGACGCCGACGGGAGGCAGCAGUAGGGAAUCUUCCGCAAUGGGCGAAAGCCUGACGGAGCAACGCCGCGUGAGUGAUGAAGGUCUUCGGAUCGUAAAACUCUGUUAUUAGGGAAGAACAAAUGUGUAAGUAACUAUGCACGUCUGGACGGUACCUAAUCAGAAAGCCACGGCUAACUACGG